rnacentral:lncRNA from 1 species
GGUUCUCUCCGCGGCGGAAGCUGUGCGGCGACCUAGCAACCGUCCUUGCCGACCCUCCCGCCGGUGACGUGGCUGCGACCCACCCUUCUUGCCAUAGCCCUUUGGAAAGCGAAGGUCCCUUCAGGGCCAAAAGGACAGGGAGGUUUUUUCCUUCCUUCCUUCCCUCCCUCCUUCCCUCCUUCCCUUUCUUUCUUUCCUUUCUUUUUCUUUCUUUUCACAGAGUCUGACUUAAUCACCCACGCUGCAGUGUAGUAUGAUCUGCUCACUGAAGCCUCUGCCUCCCGGGUUCAAGCGAUUCUCCCAACUCAGCCUCCCAAGUAGCUGUACAGGUGUGCACCGCCACACCCAGCUAAAUUUUGCAUUUGUAGUAGAUAUGGGGUUUCAUCAUGCUGGCCAAGAUGGUCUAAAGUGAUCCGCCCGCCUCGGCCUCCCAAAGUGCUGGGAUUACCGGCGGGAGCCACCGCUCCCGUCCAGGACAGGGAUUUUGGUUGGUUGGUUGGAUGGAGCCUUACAGUUUGGAUGUGGUGAGCAUGAAAUGCAUACGUUCAAGAAGCUGAGCCGACAAAGGGCUUACUCUAGGUGGACUGAAAAUUCGAUGUUUCCAAUUCAAAACAUCUGCUCUCCGAGGUGUGGGUGAAGGUAUGGGGGGUCCAAAAAUGUCCGAGUCCCACCACCUGAUGUUGUUAGUUACACUUCUUUUUUUGUUUUGAGAUGGAAUUUUGCUCUUGUUGCCCAGGCUGGAGUGCAGUGGCGCGAUUUCAACUCACCACAACCUCCGCCUCCUGGGUUCAAGCGAUUCUUCUGCCUCAGCCUCCCGAGUAGCUGGGAUUACAGGCAUGUGCCAUCACACCAGCUAAUUUUUGUAUUUUUAGUAGAGACGGGGUUUCUCCAUGUUGGUCAGUCUGGUCUCGAACUCUUGACCUCAGGUGAUCCGCCCGCCUUGGCCUCCCAAAGUGCUGGGAUUACAGGUGUGAGCCACCACACCUGGCCUAAUUUUUGUGUUUUUAGUAGAGAUAGGUUUUCGCCAUGUUGGCCAGGCUGGUCUCAAACUCACCUCAGGUGAUCCGCCUGCCUCGGCCUCUCAAAGUGCUGGGAUUACAAGCAUGAGCCACCACGCCUGGCCCACGCUUGGCUAAUUUUUGUUUGUUUGCUUGUGUUUUAGAGAUGGGGUUUUGCCACAUUGCCCAGGCUGGUUUCAAACUCCUGAGCUCAAGUGAUCUGCCUGCCUCAGCCUCCCAAAGUGCUGGGAUUACCGGCAUGAGACACCAUGCUUGACCGGUUUUAUCACAGUUUUUAAAAAGUAAUAAUAUAGUAGGCCAGGCAUGGUGGCUCAUGCCUGUAAUCCCAGCACUUUGGGAGGCUGAGGCAGGCAGAUCACCUGAGGUUGGGAGUUCAAGACGAGCCUGACCAACAUGGAGAAAACCCGUCUUUACUAAAAUACAAAAAUUAGCUGGGUGUGGUGGUGCACACCUGUAAUCCCAGCUACUCGGGAAGCUGAGGCAGGAGAAUGGCUUGAACCCAGGAGUCAUUGGUUGUGGUGAGCUGAGAUCGUGCCAUUGCACUCCAGCCUGGGCAACAAGAGUGAAACUCCAUUAAAAAAAAAAAUUAGCCGGGCACGGUGGCUCACGCCUGUAAUCCCAGCACUUUGGGAGGCCGAGGCGGGCGAAUCACAAGGUCAGGAGAUUGAGACCAUCCUGGCUAACACGGUGAAACCCUGUCUCUACUAAAAAUACAAAAAAAUUAGCCGGCAUGGUGGUGGACUCCUGUAGUCUCAGCUACUUGGGAGGCUGAGGCAGGAGAAUGGCGUGAACCUGGGAGGUGGAGCUUGCAGUGAGCCGAGAUUGUGCCACUGCACUCCAGCCUGGGCGACAGAGCAAGACUCCAUCUAAAAAAAAAAAAAGUUAAUAUAGUAAACAAAAACCCAUUGAAUUGUGCACUUUAGAUGGGUGAAUUAUAUGGUAUGUGAAUUAUAUCUCAAUAAAGCU